GUGCUUGCUUCAGCAGCACACAUACUAAAAUUAGAACAAUGCAGAGAAGACUAGCAUGGCCCCUGUGCAAAAAUAGCCCAUUGCCUAUUUAACAGUGUGGAUGGUAA